GACGAACGCUGGCGGCAGGCCUAAUACAUGCAAGCUGAACGGUAACUUGGGUAGCAAUACUUGAGCUAGAGUAACGUAAGGGUGCGUAACACGUAUGCAAUCUGCCCGCAACAGGCGGAUAGGUCCCCGAAAGGGGAAUUAAGCCGCCAUAGGAAUUUUGGAUGGCAUCAUUUGAAAUUUAAAACUACGGUGGUUAAGGAUGAGCAUGCGCAUGAUUAGUUAGUUGGCGGGGUAACGGCCCACCAAGACUUUGACCAUUAGGGGAACUGAGAGGUUGGUCCCCACACUGGCACUGAGAUACGGGCCAGACUCCUACGGGAGGCAGCAGUAGGGAAUAUUGGACAAUGGUGAGAGCCUGAUCCAGCCAUGCCGCGUGCA
rnacentral:rRNA from 1 species